UCGCUGAAUGGUUCCAAAAGACCAUGCCUCUCAUUCUAAAUACCACUAAGGGGUGGGUACUAUUUACCUUUCAAAUUCUGAACCCAGAGCAAAGGACAUUCUAAAGGCAGGGUUAAGCAAAGGAAAGGAUGUUGGAAAUGGAAAAGACUCUCCAAUUAACACAGCGGGCAGGCCCAAGGACAAGAACAUUCCACUUGUGUAGGGGACGAAGGAAUCUUGGGCAAGACUCCCUGGAAACGUGCUUUAACGGGCUUCAUACACGCCACACAGGUGGCAAAGGGGCGUAAAAUACUGUUGCGAUUCCUUACUGACGAGGCCUCCUUCGACGUCGGAGUCGGCCGGCCGGGUGAGGCCGGCGGAGCUAACAGAGCCGCCUGGCCGCCCUUCCUUCAGACCCCAGGCCGCUGUCAUCCCCCUCCAAAAGGCGCAGAGGAUGAACCCAGCAACCACGACGCGUUCCCUUCGUCCCCCAGGACGCGGCCUCCCAGCGCCUGAGGAGAACGCGGGUUUCCCUGAAGGCUUGCUUUUCGUUGGCCUUUCUGUGGUUUCCAACGGAGACUAAAGGGUCAGGGCCACGAACUCUGAUUUACACGUCCAAGUGAGAAAGCUGCAAACAGUGCCAGCCGUCCAUCCUCUGGAAAGCACUUGAACAAGCCUGUGAAGCCUUCAUUUCAGGGACACAUGAAGACCAAGGCCGUCUGCAAGCCAGGAGGAGAACUCUCCUCAGAACCCGACCACCUGUGGCAUUCUGAUCUGGGACUGUCAGUCUCUGAACUAUACAGACUUUUAAUGAUAACACAAACCAUUUCUGUACUUCACGAACUGAAACAGCGAUUUGUGGUGUGACAUCGUUCUCAGUCUUCCUCGAGUGUUCCCUGAGAUGGAGGCCUUCUCCUUCACCUCCAUCUGUCCUGAUUGCAACCAACACUUUAAGAACCUUCCAGUUGCACGCAAUGGAACAUAAAUACACUCUACAUUGCAUGUGGUAAUGGUAAAAGUAUUAUUUGUUCUGGGUGGUGAUGUAAAGUAGAUUUCUUACCGAGGAGGCAUGUAUUAAAAUGUUUGAGAACUAG